rnacentral:rRNA from 1 species
CCUACGGGAGGCAGCAGUCGAGAAUCAUUCACAAUGGGGGAAACCCUGAUGGUGCGACGCCGCGUGGGGGAAUGAAGGUCUUCGGAUUGUAAACCCCUGUCAUGUGGGAGCAAAUUAAAAAGAUAGUACCACAAGAGGAAGAGACGGCUAACUCUGUGCCAGCAGCCGCGGUAAUACAGAGGUCUCAAGCGUUGUUCGGACGCACUGGGCGUAAAGCGUGCGUAGGCUGUUUCGUAAGUCGUGUGUGAAAGGCGCGGGCUCAACCCGCGGACGGCACAUGAUACUGCGAGACUAGAGUAAGGGAGGGGGAACCGGAAUGCUCGGUGUAGCAGUGAAAUGCGUAGAUAUCGAGAGGAACACUCGUGGCGAAGGCGGGUUCCUGGACAUUAACUGACGCUGAGGCACGAAGGCCAGGGGAGCGAAAGGGAUUAGAUACCCGGGUAGUC